AGAGUUUGAUCCUGGCUCAGGAUGAACGCUGGCGGUGCGCCUAACACAUGCAAGUCGAACGAAGGAUUGUGAAGGAACUUUACGGAGGGAAAACACAAUGACUGAGUGGCGGACGGGUGAGUAACGCGUAGGGAACCUGGCCCUUACAGGGGGAUAACAGAUGGAAACAACUGCUAAUACCGCAUAAGCGCCCAGCCUCGCAUGAGGCAGAGUGAAAACUAAGGUGGUAAGGGAUGGCCCUGCGUCCGAUUAGCUAGUUGGUAUGGUAACGGCAUACCAAGGCGACGAUCGGUAGCCGGCCUGAGAGGGUGGACGGCCACAUUGGGACUGAGACACGGCCCAAACUCCUACGGGAGGCAGCAGUGGGGGAUAUUGCACAAUGGGGGAAACCCUGAUGCAGCGACACCGCGUGGGUGAAGAAGCGCUUCGGCGUGUAAAGCCCUAUCAGUGGGGAAGAAAAGGACGGUACCCAAAGAAGAAGCACCGGCUAAAUACGUG
rnacentral:rRNA from 1 species